UGCAUAGAAAGGAUUUAAAUAAUGAUUAUUAAGAAUUUCAUUAAUAAUCACUAACGCGCUGACAAAAGAGUCUAUGGUUUGCCGACACUAUUUUGUGCUGGUAUAGGUACCUUUUGUCGGCGGGUUACCCAGAAGGUAUUGGCAAAGGUUGGAAAAUUUUCCCACCAGGACGCGCCAACUUUUUGGUGGCAAAAGUUUUGGAGGGAAAAUUCCCGUGUGCUGAAAUGGAACCAAAAUUUUGGUGAGAAAGGUAAUUGCGCUGGCAAAAGUAUAUCGCACACAAAACUCUGUGUUUCCACUUAUUUUUUAAGUGGGGACUUUUGUCGGUGCCUUUGUUAGCUUUUGCUGGCGCAGCGAAACGUGCCGGCAAAAAUCUCUUAGAAUAAAUCCCCACCCGAGCCCUUUUCUUGCUCCCCUCUUCUCUUUUCUCUUUCUCUCUCCACUGGUCCGAAAACCUCCGCCUCCACCAACGGUGAUAACAGAAGGUUUAUAACUUGUGUGCUGCAGUGAAUAUCUUAAACUUUUGCAAAUUCAUCGUUCGAACUACUAUUACUUCAGUGUCUUGAAUGGAAACAAGUGCCUGCAACAGACAUCCAGACAGUGUUGCACAUAUUGGAUGUAAUAAAACUAUUAUAUUCAUUGCAAAGUUCAUAAAAUUAAUCAUAUUAUAUUCUUAACAAUUAUGAUUUUUUUUUUUCAAUGUUUAAAUGUUUUGCAGAUCAAAUUUACUUAUCCAAAAGACAAUGUUAAAGUCAUGGAUGAGCUUGCUUGUACCAUGAUGAAGGGUCUUUGAGAUUAUAUGGCCGAUUUGAAGGAGGUAUGGAAGAAAAAAGUUAAGGAUAUGGGUGCUGAGAUAGCAAGUAAGAGUCCGACCACAACAGUUACCCAAGAGGAUUGAGAAUUUCUGAUUGCAUACUGGACAACUAAAAAGCAUCAGGCUAAUUCAGAGACUGGGGAGCUUCCAAGUAUCAUUGACACCUUCGAAAAAUUCCAUCACAAAAGUGAAAAUUGGUGAAAUAAGUUUACGAAGAAUAAAUAUGUAAGUUAAAAUUAAUUUUUAGUAAGCUAAUAUAUUAUUUAUGUAUAUUUCUAACUUGAUUUCAAAUUUUAUUUUGACUACUAGGUGGAGAUGUGUUAGAUUCGUAAUUCCUGGCCAGCGCCGACUACCGAGUAUGCUUUUUCUUGCGAUGCUUCACCAACCUCUGCUCCUCGAAACCUACACAUUAUGAUAGAGAUCCUAGGUCAGUGAUCUCGUCACACGAGAGGAUAUAACCAACAACCAAGACUGAAAGCUAUUGGUGGAAAAUGAGCGACUAGCAUCUCUUCUGGUUCGAGUUCCAGUCAGACACAAUAUAGCCUAGAAGAAUUUACUCAACUUCGCAUGCAACUUAAGGAACAACAGAGGCAACAUGAGUAAUGGCAGGGGCAACAAGAGGAACAUCGAAGGCAAGAACAGGGGAAAUUUCAAAGUUAUUUUCAGACACAACAAGUCUGGAUGGCUCAAAUGGCUAAUUUGUGGUCACAAUAUAACCUUGGACAAUUGGCGCCCCCGCUUCCUCAUUAUCCUCCACGAUUCUUUUAGGCACAAGCUCUGCCACCUCCUACUCAGGAUGAUUUUGAUGAUGAUGAUGAUGCUGGUACCACUCGACUCUAGGUUUUAGUAUAUUUCUUAUUUGUAUUGAACUUUAUAUUUAUAAGUUAAAUUUUUUGUACUGAACUUCUUGCUUGUUGCGUGUUAUUUGUUUGUACUGAACUUCAUAAUUAUUCUGUUUAAGUAUU